GACGAACGCUGGCGGCGUGCUUAACACAUGCAAGUCGAACGGACAGGUCCUGCUUUUUUGGGGUGCUCGAGUGGCGAAGGGGGGAGUAGCCCGUGAGUAACCUGCCCUUGACGUAGAGAGAACUUCAGAAAGGUGGUGCUAAUACCUGAUAGGAGCUCCGGCUGCAGGUGGGGGGUUGGAUAGUUUCGUCGUUGGUGGAGAGACGCGCGGCUUAUCCGCUUGUCGGUGGGGUAGUUGCUUACCACGGCAUCGACGGGUAGCCUGCAUGAGAGGGUGACCGCGGACAUUGGGACUGAGAGACGGCGCAGAGUCCUACGGGAGGCAGCGGUGGGGAGUAUUGCACAAUAGGGGCAAGCGUGAGGCAGAGACGUCGCGUGUGGGAUGACGGGCUUCGGGUGGUAAACAGCUUUCGCCUGAGACGAAGCGUGAGUGACGGUAACGGGUAAAGAAGCACCGGCUAACUACGUG
rnacentral:rRNA from 1 species